rnacentral:rRNA from 1 species
GGAAUUGCUAGUAAUGGCAGGUCAGCAUACUGCCGUGAAUACGUUCCCGGGCCUUGUACACACCGCCCGUCACACCAUGAGAGUUGGAAAUACCCGAAGCCUGUGAGCUAACUUAAAGAGGCAGCAGUCGAAGGUAGAGCCAAUGAUUGGGGUGAAGUCGUAACAAGGUAAC